AUUGAACGCUGGCGGCAUGCUUUACAUAUGCAAGUCGAACGGCAGCACGGACUUCGGUCUGGUGGCGAGUGGCGAACGGGUGAGUAAUACAUCGGAACGUACCCAGUAAUGGGGGAUAACUAUCCGAAAGGAUAGCUAAUACCGCAUACGCCCUACGGGGGAAAGAGGGGGAUCGCAAGACCUCUUGUUAUUGGAGCGGCCGAUGGCUGAUUAGCUAGUUGGUGAGGUAAAGGCUCACCAAGGCGACGAUCAGUAGCGGGUCUUAGAGGACGAUCCGCCACGCUGGAACUGAAACACGGUCCAGACUCCUACGGGAGGCAGCAGUGGGGAAUCCUGGACAAUGGGCGCAAGCCUGAUCCAGCAAUGCCGCGUGCGUGAAGAAGGCCUUCGGGUUGUAAAGCGCUUUUGUCAGGGAGCAAAUCCUUGUGGCUAAUACCCACCGGGGAUGAGAGUACCUGAAGAAUAAGGACCGGCUAACUACGUGCCAGCCGCCGCCGUAA
rnacentral:rRNA from 1 species